rnacentral:rRNA from 1 species
AGAGUUUGAUCCUGGCUCAGGAUGAACGCUGGCGGCGUGCCUAACACAUGCAAGUCGAGCGAUUCUCUUCGGAGAAGAGCGGCGGACGGGUGAGUAACGCGUGGGUAACCUGCCCUGUACACACGGAUAACAUACCGAAAGGUAUGCUAAUACGAGAUAAUAUGCUUUUAUCGCAUGGUAGAAGUAUCAAAGUUUUUGCGGUACAGGAUGGACCCGCGUCUGAUUAGCUAGUUGGUAAGGUAACGGCUUACCAAGGCGACGAUCAGUAGCCGACCUGAGAGGGUGAUCGGCCACAUUGGAACUGAGACACGGUCCAAACUCCUACGGGAGGCAGCAGUGGGGAAUAUUGCACAAUGGGCGAAAGCCUGAUGCAGCAACGCCGCGUGAGCGAUGAAGGCCUUCGGGUCGUAAAGCUCUGUCCUCAAGGAAGAUAAUGACGGUACUUGAGGAGGAAGCCCCGGCUAACUACGUGCCAGCAGCCGCGGUAAUACGUAGGGGGCUAGCGUUAUCCGGAAUUACUGGGCGUAAAGGGUGCGUAGGUGGUUUCUUAAGUCAGAGGUGAAAGGCUACGGCUCGACCGUAGUAAGCCUUUGAAACUGGGAAACUUGAGUGCAGGAGAGGAGAGUGGAAUUCCUAGUGUAGCGGUGAAAUGCGUAGAUAUUAGGAGGAACACCAGUUGCGAAGGCGGCUCUCUGGACUGUAACUGACACUGAGGCACGAAAGCGUGGGGAGCAAACAGGAUUAGAUACCCUGGUAGUCCACGCCGUAAACGAUGAGUACUAGCUGUCGGAGGUUACCCCCUUCGGUGGCGCAGCUAACGCAUUAAGUACUCCGCCUGGGAAGUACGCUCGCAAGAGUGAA